GAUCAUGGCUCAGAUUGAACGCUGGCGGCAGGCUUAACACAUGCAAGUCGAGCGGGGGAAGUUGCUUCGGUAACUGACCUAGCGGCGGACGGGUGAGUAAUGCUUAGGAAUCUGCCUAUUAGUGGGGGACAACAUCUCGAAAGGGAUGCUAAUACCGCAUACGUCCUACGGGAGAAAGCAGGGGACCUUCGGGCCUUGCGCUAAUAGAUGGGCCUAAGUCGGAUUAGCUAGUUGGUGGGGUAAAGGCCU
rnacentral:rRNA from 1 species